CAUAGUUAAGGGAACUAGUGCCAAUUGUCCAAAUUUUCUCAAAAUUUAAAAAAUGAUUUUUAAUCAUUUUACGGCCACUUUAAAGAUGAUUAUACUUUUCGCCACUGGUCUACUGAUACACUACAUUAAGGAGGGGCGUGUUUAUUCAGUACACACAUGUGUUGUGCACCAUAAACUUUACUAAUGAUUGAAUGUACUUAAAUGCACUUCAAUGUAAUUUACUUAGAUAAUUAUAGUUA